rnacentral:rRNA from 1 species
AUACGGAGGGUGCAAGCGUUGUUCGGAAUUACUGGGCGUAAAGCGCUCGUAGGCGGUUGGGUAAGUCGAAUGUGAAAGCCCAGGGCUCAACCCUGGAACUGCAUCCGAAACUGCUCAGCUAGAGUCCCGGAGAGGAAGGCAGAAUUCCCAGUGUAGGGGUGAAAUCCGUAGAUAUUGGGAGGAAUACCAGUGGCGAAGGCGGCCUUCUGGACGGUGACUGACGCUGAGGAGCGAAAGCGUGGGGAGCAAACAGGAUUAGAUACCCCAGUAGUCC